rnacentral:rRNA from 1 species
AACGAACGCUGGCGGCGUGCCUAACACAUGCAAGUCGAGGGAGAAAGCCCGCAAGGGUGAGUAAACCGGCGAACGGGUGCGUAACACGUGGAUAAUCUACCUUCCUGACUGGGACAACUGGCCGAAAGGCUUGCUAAUACCAGAUAAGCCCACGGCGUCCUUUGGACGCUGAGGGAAAAGGUGGCCUCUGCAUGCAAGCUAUCGCAGGGAGAUGAGUCCGCGGCCCAUCAGC